GCAUAUCAAUAAGCGGAGGAAAAGAAACCAACAGGGAUUGCCCUAGUAACGGCGAGUGAAGCGGCAACAGCUCAAAUUUGAAAUCUGGCUUCGGCCCGAGUUGUAAUUUGCAGAGGAUGUUUCUGGCGCGGUGCCUUCCGAGUUCCCUGGAACGGGACGCCACAGAGGGUGAGAGCCCCGUAUGGUUGGACACCAAGCCUGUGUGAAACUCCUUCGACGAGUCGAGUAGUUUGGGAAUGCUGCUCAAAAUGGGAGGUAAAUCUCUUCUAAAGCUAAAUACCGGCCAGAGACCGAUAGCGCACAAGUAGAGUGAUCGAAAGAUGAAAAGCACCUUGAAAAGGGGGGUUAAACAGUACGUGAAAUUGUUGAAAGGGAAGCGCUUGUGACCAGACUUGUGCCGGGCGGUUCAUCCGGGGUUCUCCCCGGUGCACUCCGCCCGGUUCAGGCCAGCAUCGGUUUUCGUUGGGGGAUAAGAACGUCAGGAACGUGGCCCUCCUUCGGGUGGGUGUUAUAGCCUGGCGUACGAUACCCUGGCGGGGACCGAGGUUCGCGCUCCGCAAGGAUGCUGGCGUAAUGGUCAUCAGCGACCCGUCUUGAAACACGGACCAAGGAGUCGUCCAUUAGAGCGAGCGUUUGGGUGUCAAACCCGCACGCGUAAUGAAAGUGAAAUUAGGUGAGAGCUUCGGCGCAUCAUCGACCGAUCCUGAUGUUCUCGGAUGGAUUUGAGUAAGAGUUUUAACGGACGGACCCGAAAGACAGUGAACUAUGCUUGUAUAGGGUGAAGCCAGAGGAAACUCUGGUGGAGGCUCGCAGCGGUUCUGACGUGCAAAUCGAUCGUCAAAUAUGAGCAUGGGGGCGAAAGACUAAUCGAACUGUCUAGUAGCUGGUUACCGCCCGAAG
rnacentral:rRNA from 1 species